UUAGUAAUCCGUUUUUCAUGUCCUGGCCAAUAAUACAAUGGUACAAAGUGCAUUACAAGUGUUUAAUGACAAGAUGCAUGCAGUACACUCCAUGGUUAUUCAAAAGAAAUGAAUCCAUUUCAUAAUUCAUAGCUCAACGAGUGAUUUGUUUACAUACCUCUUACUGCAUUGCACACCUUGUAGGAGGCAAAAGCCAGCUUCUUCCCUCCUCUGCCAAGCCAGUUGAAUUUCAGCGCGAAGUGGUUGGUGAGGAUGUGGCGAAGGAUUCUUCGAACCGCGUCACCAGGAUUGCAGCCCCCAAGCGCACUAAGGUGUGCUGCCUGCAGGUAAGAAUGGAAAGUAAUGUUUUAGAAUAUCUUAUUAUGGCUUAUAGUCAGCAUACCGUUCAAAAUGAACAUCUUUGGUAAUGCGAAAAGUUCAUUAAACACUAUUUUUAGGAGUGAACAACGCGUUUCGCCCAAUGCGUCUUCAGGUUCGAACCUGAAAACGCAUUGGGCGAAACGCGUUGUUCGCUCCUAAAAAUAAAGAGAAAAAAGAACAGUAUCCAGUGUGCGGUGUUUAAUGAACUUUUCAUAUUUGAUCACGUUUUCCUGCCUAACACCUGCACCUGGAAAGCUGAAGGGUUGUGCACAAGGACUUUCAUGCACUUUGAUCUUUGGGUGCUCCUGGUUUGGGCUUUUUUCAGGUUCAUACGCGCUGCAUCAUAAUUGGCUGUUGAAGACAACAAUGAAGUCUCAUCUGGCAUAGCGCUUUGGAUGACUGCAACUUUCGUCCGCUUGGUGUCUUUAUACGGUGGCCAAAAAGACACCUUGCCAUCCAAACUUAGCCACGAGCAA
ensembl:lncRNA